UCUAAAGACAACUCCUCUAAAUUUGUCAACCGGCCACUGAAGAACAUUCAGAAUCCUCAGCAAGUAUUAUGAAUUCACCUCGCUACCUGCUUUUGCAAGAGUAUUCUUGAAAAAUGUGUGUGUGAAGCUGCUUCAUUCCGUUAUCUUGGAAUUUUGUGCAACAUGACCUCUUUUGCUUUGUGGAGCAUGGUAAAAUAUUAGAAUGAAGAAGAAGGGAAUGGCGGAAAAUCUGACAGAUGAUAGAUUCCCUCUGACACCAAUGUGAUUUCCUGUCCACAAGUACCCAGAUGCCCAGAACAGAGAGGCUGCAAAAGAACUAUUUGAAGAAGGAUUCAGAGGAGGUUGAAAGGUACCGACCCAGAUGGUAACCAGCAAAAUAGCAGAAUGGCUGUCACGGAGGAUUUUUGAACCACAAGCAAAAAACUCAGAAAGGCACGAUAUGCCAUAUGGAACUGAUUUGUGAAAGAGACACAAAUCUCCCACAUUGCAGGACAUGAUUUGAGAAGCAGUAAUGCAAUGUAUCAAGCUAACUUUACGUUGACUACAUUGACUUUGAAGUGGGAAACCAUAGUUAUAACAGUAAUUCUGUGCUGAAUUUGAGUCUCUCUUGCAGAAUUUAUGUUGGUAUUCUUUGUUGAAUUUGCUUGCUUGGAAGUACUGUAAAAGCUUUUUCCAACAUCCUCCAAAGGCUUGCCGGGAGACUAACUCUGCUGCUCAUUUUAUCAAGCGUUUUCCCUGUUGUGUUGAUGUCAGGCUAUUGCAGUUUAAAUUCAUUAGGCGAGACGAGUCGGCUAUCAAAGAACUGCUUUCUUUACAAAAAAUACUUAUAACUCUUUUGAUCUAAGUCUGCAAAAGUUCUGAUUAAAAUUAAGUUUUCCACCAAAAAACCUACAGGGAAAAUGCAGACUGUGCACCCAUAUGUUUGCAAUCUUGUAACAAUGCACAAUAAAAUGUAAUGACGUCUGCUGAGAUUUUUGCUGCUGAGAAGUAUUCACUCCAUCCAGUGCUGGUUGAGGUAGCCAAAAUGUG